rnacentral:rRNA from 1 species
UACGAGGGGGGCAAGCGUUGUUCGGAAUUACUGGGCGUAAAGGGUGCGUAGGUGGUUUGAUGAGUCACAUGUAGAAUCCCCGGGCUUAACCUGGGAAUGUCGUGUGAAACUGUUGGACUUGAGUACGGGAGAGGGCAGUGGAAUUUCCGGUGUAGCGGUGAAAUGCGUAGAUAUCGGAAGGAACACCGGUGGCGAAGGCGGCUGCCUGGCCUGAUACUGACACUGAGGCACGAAAGCGUGGGGAGCAAACAGG